GAUGAAGAACGUAGUGAAAUGCGAUACGUAAUGUGAAUUGCAGAAUUCAGUGAAUCAUCGAAUCUUUGAGCGCAUAUUGCGCUCUCUGGUAUUCCGGAGAGCAUGCUUGUUUGAGUAUCAGUAAACACCUCAACUCCCUUUUCUUUUUUGAAAUUGGAGCUGGACUUGAGUGAUCCCAACGCUUUCUUCCAAGAAAGUGGCGGGUUGCUUGAAAUGCAGGUGCAGCUGAACUUUUCUCUGAGCUAUAAGCAUAUCUAUUUAGUCUGCCUAAAAAACAGAUUAUUACCUUUGCUGCAGCUAACAUAAAGGAGACUAGUUCUUGUGCUGACUGAUGCAGGAUUCACAGAGACAGCUUCGGCUGACUUUGUAAACUCGAUCUCAAAUCAAGUAAGACUACCCGCUGAACUUAAGCAUAUCAAUAAGCGGAGGA
rnacentral:misc_RNA from 1 species